rnacentral:tRNA from 1 species
GUGAGUGUAGCUCAAUUGGUUAGAGCACCUGACUGUGGCUCAGGAUGCUGGGGGUUCAAGUCCCCUCACUCACC